GGGGAAUUUUCCGCAAUGGGCGAAAGCCUGACGGAGCAAGACCGCGUGGGGGAAGAAGGCUCUUGGGUUGUAAACCCCUUUUCUCUGGGAAGAACGUUGUGAAAGCAACCUGACGGUACCAGAGGAAUCAGCAUCGGCUAACUCCGUGCCAGCAGCCGCGGUAAGACGGAGGAUGCAAGCGUUAUCCGGAAUGAUUGGGCGUAAAGCGUCCGCAGGUGGCAGUUCAAGUCUGCUGUCAAAGACCGGGGCUCAACCUCGGAAAGGCAGUGGAAACUGAACAGCUAGAGUAUGGUAGGGGCAAAGGGAAUUCCUGGUGUAGCGGUGAAAUGCGUAGAGAUCAGGAAGAACAUCGGUGGCGAAGGCGCUUUGCUGGACCAUAACUGACACUCAGGGACGAAAGCUAGGGGAGCGAAUGGGAUUAGAUACCCCAGUAGUCCUAGCCGUAAACGAUGGAUACUAGGUGUUGUCUGUAUCGACCCGGACAGUGCCGUAGCUAACGC
rnacentral:rRNA from 1 species